UAAGCCGUUGAAGGUGGCCUGUGAGGGUUGCUGGAGGUAUCAGAAGUGCGAAUGCUGACAUAAGUAACGAUAAAGCGGGUGAAAAGCCCGCUCGCCGGAAGACCAAGGGUUCCUGUCCAACGUUAAUCGGGGCAGGGUGAGUCGACCCCUAAGGCGAGGCCGAAAGGCGUAGUCGAUGGGAAACGGGUUAAUAUUCCCGUACUUGGUGUUACUGCGAAGGGGGGACGGAGAAGGCUAUGUUGGCCGGGCGACGGUUGUCCCGGUUUAAGCGUGUAGGUGUGUGUUCCAGGUAAAUCCGGUUCACUUUAACACUGAGGCGUGACGACGAGGCACUACGGUGCUGAAGCAACAAAUGCCCUGCUUCCAGGAAAAGCCUCUAAGCCUCAGGUAACAUCAAAUCGUACCCCAAACCGACACAGGUGGUCAGGUAGAGAAUACCAAGGCGCUUGAGAGAACUCGGGUGAAGGAACUAGGCAAAAUGGUGCCGUAACUUCGGGAGAAGGCACGCUGACACGUAGGUGAAGUGGUUUACCCAUGGAGCUGAAGUCAGUCGAAGAUACCAGCUGGCUGCAACUGUUUAUUAAAAACACAGCACUGUGCAAACACGAAAGUGGACGUAUACGGUGUGACGCCUGCCCGGUGCCGGAAGGUUAAUUGAUGGGGUCAGCGCAAGCGAAGCUCCUGAUCGAAGCCCCGGUAAACGGCGGCCGUAACUAUAACGGUCCUAAGGUAGCGAAAUUCCUUGUCGGGUAAGUUCCGACCUGCACGAAUGGCGUAAUGAUGGCCAGGCUGUCUCCACCCGGGACUCAGUGAAAUUGAACUCGCUGUGAAGAUGCAGUGUACCCGCGGCAAGACGGAAAGACCCCGUGAACCUUUACUAUAGCUUGACACUGAACACUGGUCCUUGAUGUGCAGGAUAGGUGGGAGGCUUUGAAGUGUGGACGCCAGUCUGCAUGGAGCCAUCCUUGAAAUACCACCCUUUAAUGGCUGGUGUUCUAACGUGGGCCCCUGACCGGGGUUGCGGACAGUGUCUGGUGGGUAGUUUGACUGGGGCGGUCUCCUCCUAAAGAGUAACGGAGGAGCACGAAGGUUGGCUAAUCCUGGUCGGACAUCAGGAGGUUAGUGCAAUGGCAUAAGCCAGCUUGACUGCGAGCGUGACGGCGCGAGCAGGUGCGAAAGCAGGUCAUAGUGAUCCGGUGGUUCUGAAUGGAAGGGCCAUCGCUCAACGGAUAAAAGGUACUCCGGGGAUAACAGGCUGAUACCGCCCAAGAGUUCAUAUCGACGGCGGUGUUUGGCACCUCGAUGUCGGCUCAUCACAUCCUGGGGCUGAAGUAGGUCCCAAGGGUAUGGCUGUUCGCCAUUUAAAGUGGUACGCGAGCUGGGUUUAGAACGUCGUGAGACAGUUCGGUCCCUAUCUGCCGUGGGCGCUGGAAGAUUGAGGGGGGCUGCUCCUAGUACGAGAGGACCGGAGUGGACGCAUCACUGGUGUUCGGGUUGUCAUGCCAAUGGCACUGCCCGGUAGCUACAUGCGGAAGAGAUAAGUGCUGAAAGCAUCUAAGCACGAAACUUGCCCCGAGAUGAAUCUUCCCUGAGCCUUUAAGGCUCCUGAAGGAACGUUGAAGACGACGACGUUGAUAGGCCGGGUGUGUAAGCGCAGCGAUGCGUUGAGCUAACCGGUACUAAUGAACCGUGAGGCUUAACCUU
rnacentral:rRNA from 1 species